rnacentral:rRNA from 1 species
CCUACGGGAGGCAGCAGUGAGGAAUUUUCCGCAAUGGGCGAAAGCCUGACGGAGCAAUACCGCGUGAGGGAUGAAGGAUUUUGGUCUGUAAACCUCUUUUCUCAAGAAAGAAGUUCUGACGGUACUUGAGGAAUAAGCAUCGGCUAACUCCGUGCCAGCAGCCGCGGUAAUACGGGGGAUGCAAGCGUUAUCCGGAAUGAUUGGGCGUAAAGCGCCUGUAGGUUGUUUAUUAAGUCCGUUGUUAAAGCCUAGGGCUCAACCCUAGAAAAGCAAUGGAAACUAGUAGACUAGAGUAUGGCAGGGGUAGAGGGAAUUUCUAGUGUAGCGGUGAAAUGCGUAGAUAUUAGAAAGAACACCGGUGGCGAAAGCGCUCUACUGGACCAUUACUGACACUCAGAGGCGAAAGCUAGGGUAGCAAAAGGGAUUAGAUACCCCUGUAGUCCUAGCCGUAAACGAUGGAUACUAGAUGUUGUGCAUUAUGUACAGUAUCGUAGCUAACGCGUUAAGUAUCCCGCCUGGGGAGGUACGCUCGCAGGUAGUAACGUUAAAUAGAAUUAGUACGGCGUGAGACGUGCCGACGGACGACACGAGGGAGUAGG